AGCUUACCAAGCCGACGAUCUGUAGCUGGUCUGAGAGGACGACCAGCCACACUGGGACUGAGACACGGCCCAGACUCCUACGGGAGGCAGCAGUGGGGAAUAUUGGACAAUGGGCGCAAGCCUGAUCCAGCCAUGCCGCGUGUGUGAAGAAGGCCUUCGGGUUGUAAAGCACUUUCAGUUGGGAGGAAGGGUUGUGUGUUAAUAGUACACAGCCUUGACGUUACCAACAGAAGAAGCACCGGCUAACUCUGUGCCAGCAGCCGCGGUAAUACAGAGGGUGCAAGCGUUAAUCGGAAUUACUGGGCGUAAAGCGCACGUAGGCGGUUUUUUAAGUCAGAUGUGAAAGCCCCGGGCUCAACCUGGGAAUUGCAUUUGAAACUGGAAAACUAGAGUGUGUGAGAGGGGGGUAGAAUUCCAAGUGUAGCGGUGAAAUGCGUAGAGAUUUGGAGGAAUACCAGUGGCGAAGGCGGCCCCCUGGCACAACACUGACGCUCAGGUGCGAAAGCGUGGGGAGCAAACAGGAUUAGAUACCCUGGUAGUCCACGCCGUAAACGAUGUCUACUAGCUGUUCGUGACCUUGUGUCGUGAGUAGCGCAGCUAACGCACUAAGUAGACCGCCUGGGGAGUACGGUCGCAAGAUUAAAACUCAAAUGAAUUGACGGGGGCCCGCACAAGCGGUGGAGCAUGUGGUUUAAUUCGACGCAACGCGAAGAACCUUACCUACUCUUGACAUCCAGAGAAGACUGCAGAGAUGCGGUUGUGCCUUCGGGAACUCUGAGACAGGUGCUGCAUGGCUGUCGUCAGCUCGUGUUGUGAAAUGUUGGGUUAAGUCCCGCAACGAGCGCAACCCUUAUCCUUAGUUGCCAGCACGUAAUGGUGGGAACUCUAGGGAGACUGCCGGUGAUAAACCGG
rnacentral:rRNA from 1 species